rnacentral:rRNA from 1 species
GCGUUGUUCGGAUUCAUUGGGCGUAAAGGGUGCGUAGGUGGCGCCGUAAGUGGGGUGUGAAAUUCCGGAGCUUAACUCCGAAACUGCAUUCCAUACUGCGGUGCUUGAGGACUGGAGAGGAGACUGGAAUUUACGGUGUAGCAGUGAAAUGCGUAGAGAUCGUAAGGAAGACCAGUGGCGAAGGCGGCCUGCUGGGCAGUAGCUGACACUGAGGCGCGACAGCGUG